AUUGAACGCUGGCGGCAUGCCUUACACAUGCAAGUCGAACGGUAACAGGUCUUCGGAUGCUGACGAGUGGCGAACGGGUGAGUAUACAUCGGAACGUGCCUAGUAGUGGGGGAUAACUACUCGAAAGAGUGGCUAAUACCGCAUGAGAUCUACGGAUGAAAGCAGGGGAUCGCAAGACCUUGUGCUACUAGAGCGGCCGAUGGCAGGUUAGGUAGUUGGUGGGAUAAAAGCUUACCAAGCCGACGAGCUGGAGCUGGUCUGAGAGGACGAUCAGCCACACGGGGACUGAGACACGGCCCAGACUCCUACGGGAGGCAGCAGUGGGGAAUUUUGGACAAUGGGCGGAAGCCUGAUCCAGCAAUGCCGCGUGCAGGAUGAAGGCCUUCGGGUUGUAAACUGCUUUUGUACGGAACGAAAAGCCCUGGGUUAAUACCCUGGGGUCAUGACGGUACCGUAAGAAUAAGCACCGGCUAACUACGUGCCAGCCGCCGCCGUAA
rnacentral:rRNA from 1 species